GGAUGAAGAGAUUCUGGGGAUUUCGGCGAUGCCGGCGUCGACGAGGCCUUUGACGCCGGCUUUCGAGCCGUCGAACGCUUUUAGCUCGCUCGCUCUGUCAUAACUCUGCUCGCCGGAGUCGGAGGCCAAAUUGAUGAUAGCUCAAAUAAUAAAGACUUGCCUAGUACUUCAUUAGACAAACAUGAAGGAAUGGAUAUGGACUUAGGUGAACGUAAAAACAGAAGGUUCAUUUGUGACGAGGCUGAAAAUAUCACCCAUAGAGCCGUACUGUUUGUGCCGUCCUAUCCAAAGAGGUCAUGUUAACAUUUCACAAGCUUAUCCUAUGCAGCAGGUAUAUGAGGAUUUGCAUACUAUCUGAGACUGGGAUAUUGGUGGAGAAGUUUCAUAUACCCCAAUCUGAAAGGAAUAUGUAUUCUGCUAUUCUUGUUGUGCCUGAGACAUUUGAUAAUCGUGGUACUUAUUUGCAUUGCUUUUCCUUAUGUCCAUUUGUUUAUACACGAAGAGUUUACUAUUACUUUUUCCGCUUAUGCAUUUCAUGAGAUUCUAUGUGUUGUAAGUGGAUGCAUGAACAUGUCGUUGAGUAAUGAGAGAAUUGUAGUGUGGUUUCUUCCCAUGCUUCUUCUUUAUUUUCUCCUAUGGUUCAUUGGCUCAUUUUACUUCGUUUAUCAUUAGGAAUAGAUUUCUUUUUUCUACUCAAUAAUUGAGAGGUAGUAUACCAUUGCUGUAGCUAAAGAUUACUCCAAGAAAGGACUUUUAAGGUCUUCAGCUAAUGUAAUAUUCUUUAGGUUGACAAGAGGAAACCUAAAUUUACCGGGAUUAUGUUUUUUUGGGGAACUUUCUGCAUCUCAUUGAGCAAUUGGUGGCCUUUUCUUAAGCUCUAAAGCAUGGAUCAGUAGUAAAUAUAUUGGUACUUUUUGGUUCGGGAGUUUAUUACACCAGGCGCAGUUUAUGUGUGAUCUGCAAAGAAAUUUCCUUUUAUGUUGGGAUGCUUGAUAGGGUCAUUAACUUGUCUGUUUACUUGUGAUAGGUUUAGAAGAUCCUAUAGUCAAAGUUAAAGAACUGCCAAAGAAUGGAUGAGAGGCUGAAAUAGAACUUUGGAUAUAAGGUCAAUCUGUAUGUAUGAUCUUAUAUCAAAAUCAUGCUGUCAACUUCUUCCCACCUUAUUUUGUAAGUACUCUUAUGAUUCUUCAGUUGGCAGUGCGUCAGAGUCAUAUUGCUAUACCACAUUUUCUGCUGGAAAGCAUAAGAUAGACUUAUUGUAAAAAAGUUACUGAGGGUUGCCACCCCUGCGGAAAAUGAUUCUUAAUAAAUGACCUCUCUUAAAAAGUCAAUGUGUUUGGAUGUGACCACUGUGUUUUGCUUCUCCUUCUAUGAACUUCUAACAUUUCUCUCACUGUUGGAGGAAUGGAAUCCUUCAAUCUCUUCUUCUCCUUGCUUUUGCUAACAUGCAUUCUUAUCCAUGCCCGGAGUUCAUUUGAAACUUAAGAAAUGAUUGGAAUCUUAAGGAGGACUUUAAUUACCUAGGAUCUUUACAUGGUCCCGAUCCUAAGCUAAGAAAAAUCAUAGGAUCGAUGCGAUCCUACUGAUCCCAUUGGUCGACCUUUGACAUACUUUCACCUUUAAAUAUGUAUAUCUGAUGUUCAGGUAAUAGAAAUACUGAUUUUUCUUGUACAUGUAGUAUAUAAACUAUAAAUUCACACCAUUUUGGAGUUUUAAUGUCACACCAUGUUCAUAAUUAACAAACUUCAUAGGACUAUCCAAGAUUUCUAUAUUGUUGGUGUAAUAUUUUAGGAUCUUACGACCCACCAUCUGAUGUUACAAUCCGAUCCCUUAGACACCUUCAUCGAUCAUAAGUAGGAUCCUGCUCCUCACAACCUUGUUCUUAACUGUAGAAAACUCAACCAAGAAAGCACCAACAGUUAAUGAGUGUUCCUAGCAACCUUGUUCCUAACAACCCUAGGGCACACUUACAAAAGCACCAAUUACCAGAAUCAAAGCCGUUCAGCAUGUUACUGAUUGUCAAAAUGCUUUUUAAAACAACCUUCUUUUUCUAGGGAAAGAAAGCCACUCUUUGAGGAACUUCCUUUACUAGAUUGCCUCCAAGGAAAUUAGCCUCCUCGCUCACAUUUGUCUCAGAAAAGACAGAUUAGUAUACUGUUGGAUUGAAAAUACCUGCCAACAGACCGAAUGAUCCUUAUCUUCGGUGUGAUUCACACCCUCAAUGUUGUAAAGAAAAAUAUAGAAAAAUUACACCGUUCCAAUUCCCAAUCUUGGGUACUGCAAACCAUAUUUAAAUAUUCCAUCAGGUUCUGUCAUAACCAGUAUACAAAAAAAUCUCAAAAUUGUACUGGCUUGCUACAAGCCUUAAAAGAAUUAGGGAAUAAUUGUUUUAUGAGUGAUUUUACACUUAAUGCACCAUGCCAGAAGAAGAUAGAGUAAUUUGUAAUUUAGAGAUUAUGAUGGAUUAGCUUUCCUUUUUUUAUCAACUUCUACUCUACAAGUUCUCCUGCUCACUUCCAUCAUCCCCGUUAUGCAAGAAUUUGUGUCGUCUCAGGUAGUUAAGAUUCGAGAAUGUGUUUUAGCUUUAGUAGUUAAAUAGUUCUGGGCUUGUCCCAUCGAGCUGAAAUUCUGUAUGCUUAGUCAUCUUGCUGAUGGAAGAGGUAUUUAUCUAAAUUCUUCGGUGGAUUCUUCAUCCUUAGUGAUAUGCUUUUCGAAAAAUACUAUUAUAACAUGAUAUAGUGAUCGCAACAUCAAUAGUUGAAGGAUGAGUUGCAUCUGUACCUUCAGUGGGUGGUAUCUUUUUACCUCUUGUGCUCUAAGUACAUCUUUUUUUAGGUACAGCGAAAAGGUUUUUCCAUGGCAAUAUCUUUGCAAACAGCUUCCCUUGCUUUCUUGUAAGUUGAGCUUGUUGCAUUGAAUGUAUGUGUCCAGAAUCCACUGAAUGGGUAGUUGGUUGUUGUGCUGUUUUUCUCUGCCAGGGAUCUAGCAGAUUCCACAUUGAAUGUUCUGUUUUCUCUGGUUUCAAGCAAAAAUUAAGGAAGUGCUUUCUAUAGUGUUGCGGGACUUGCAAUUUAGCUCUGCCGUGGUACACCAGGUUGGGAACCUUUCUGCCUUCUGAUGACUUGCAGAAAUUUACCUACAUUUAAGUGUGAAACAUGUUUUAUGAUAAAAUAGUUGAUAAAGAUAUUUAACUGUGAAAGAUAUUUUAGCAUGCUUUCACUAUUCCGAUGACAGUCAUUCCCUAGAAUCACAAAAUUGAUAUCGUAUUUAUGGCUAUGCAUGUUUUGUAACUUAUGUAACACAUUAUCUUACAGCUUGUUUACUUUGCAUGGCAAUAACUUUAGCCAAAUGGCAUGCUUUUUUCUCUUCUGUAUUCUCCACUCUCCAAAUUGUGUUUUGUCUCAUGAUGUGAUCACCGAUCAUGACAAAUAUUUAGGUGACUAUAGUAUUACCCACUGUAUUCUCCAUUAGUAGACUAUAAAUACUUCAUUAACUAUGUUCAACAGGAAAGUCUUGCUGCAGCUUUUGGGAACGGCUUGUCAACUGCCUGCAUUGUGAAUGUGGGAGCUCAGGUGACAUCAGUCAUAUGCAUUGAGGAUGGAGUGGCUCUACCUACCUCCGAGAAGAUAUUACCAUUUGAUGGAGUGGAUAUAUCCAGAUGCCUCCUAUGGACCCAGAGGCAUCAUAAAUUAUGGCCUCAAGUUCGCAGUGACAUGUUGAACAAGCGUACAGAUAUGUUGAUGCUAAACGAACUGAAAGAAUCCUAGUGAUACAUCCAAGAGGUGGAGGUUGAUGCUGUACCAAUUGUUCACUCAUACGAGGACGGGAUGCCAGCUGCAUCUCAUAGGACGAGGCUUACUGCUCUCAAAGUAUAAUGAUUGUGAGGAUAUGCUAAAAGAAACUUGGCAUUUUGAUUAUCCCAGACGACCAGACAUGGCAGAUAGCCUCUAUCCUGGGUUUAACAUUAAAUUGCUAAUGUGGGACAACUAUCUUAUAUUUCAAACAAAACCUAAGAAGGAAGAGAAGGUUGACCUUGCUGAAGCAAUCACUAGUAGCAUCCUUUCAACUGGCAGGUCCUUCGCAAUUUCUUCAACUCCGCUUGCAGGGAUUGUUAAUGUAUAUGGAUCAUAGUUUUUUAUAUUACUUUAACAAGGCGUAUCAAUCUUGAGAGAAAAUUAUUCUGCAGCAUACAACUGAUUGGUGGAGUGGCUUUGACUGAGGAUCUCAUUCCUGGUGUAGAAGAAAGAGUAUUUCAUGCAAUUCCUUCAGAUGAAGCAAUUGAUACAAUCGAGUCGCAGCUCAAGAAGAAUCAACAACUCCAAGGGUAGAAACGCUCAACGCGAAGCACACAAAAGGAGAGAAGGUUGUUGGUUGCAAGGAUUCGAGUUCGAUUCUUCCAAUUGCUGAUUUUAUCGGUUCAUUCAAAAGCCGCCAUUGCUGUAAUCUCAUUUCUUAUUUUCUGUUUUCCAGUUUUUUUCUUUUUCUUGCCAGAAUCCUGUAAUCUUACUUUUCUUAGCUUACUACGUGCUCACAAAAUUAAAUGCGUAUAUAAAAAGAAAAGAUUAUAGAUUGAGAUUGUCUCCAAAAAAAAAGGGUCAGUUAUAUUUCCAUGAAUGAAAUGAGCGAAGGCAAUUAUUCUUUGAGAGGAGCAAAUAGAUGC